AUUGAACGCUGGCGGAAUGCUUUACACAUGCAAGUCGAACGGUAGAGGGGGCAACCCCUCGAGAGUGGCGAACGGGUGAGUAAUAUAUCGGAACGUGCCCAGUCGUGGGGGAUAACGUAGCGAAAGUUACGCUAAUACCGCAUACGAUCUAAGGAUGAAAGCGGGGGAUCGCAAGACCUCGCGCGAUUGGAGCGGCCGAUAUCCGAUUAGGUAGUUGGUGGGGUAAAGGCUCACCAAGCCAACGAUCUGUAGCUGGGCUGAGAGGACGACCGGUCAUACUGUAACGCAGACGCGGUCCAGAGUCCUACGGGAGGCAGCAGUGGGGAAUUUUGGAACAUGGACGCAAGUCGGAUCCCGCCAUUCCGCGGGCAGGAUGAAGGCCCGCGGGUUGUAAACUGGUUUUGUACGGAACGAAAAGGUCUCUCUUAAUACGGGGGACUCAUGACGGUACCGUAAGCAUAAGCACCGGCUAACUACGUGCCUGCAGCCGCGGUAA
rnacentral:rRNA from 1 species